UACGGAGGGGGCUAGCGUUGUUCGGAAUUACUGGGCGUAAAGCGCACGUAGGCGGCUUUGUAAGUUAGAGGUGAAAGCCUGGGGCUCAACUCCAGAACUGCCUUUAAGACUGCAUCGCUUGAAUCAUGGAGAGGCGGGUGGAAUUCCGAGUGUAGAGGUGAAAUUCGUAGAUAUUCGGAAGAACACCUAUGGCGAAGGCAGCUCUCUGGGACGGUACUGACGCUGAGACGCGAAAGCGUGGGGAGCGAACAGG
rnacentral:rRNA from 1 species